rnacentral:rRNA from 1 species
UACGAAGGGUGCUAGCGUUGUUCGGAAUUACUGGGCGUAAAGAGCGCGUAGGCGGUUGUACUAGUCAGGGGUGAAAUCCCACAGCUUAACUGUGGAACUGCCUUUGAAACUGUGCAACUGGAGUGUGUGAGGGGAUAGCGGAAUUCCUAAUGUAGAGGUGAAAUUCGUAGAUAUUAGGAGGAACACCGGUGGCGAAGGCGGCUAUCUGGCGCACAACUGACGCUGAGGCGCGAAAGCGUGGGGAUCAAACAGG